UACGGAGAAUGCAAGCGUUAUCCGGAAUGAUUGGGCGUAAAGCGUCCGCAGGUGGCUGUGUAAGUCUGCUGUUAAAGAGUGAGGCUCAACCUCAUAAAAGCAGUGGAAACUACACAGCUAGAGUGCGUUCGGGGCAGAGGGAAUUCCUGGUGUAGCGGUGAAAUGCGUAGAGAUCAGGAAGAACACCGGUGGCGAAGGCGCUCUGCUAGGCCGCAACUGACACUGAGGGACGAAAGCUAGGGGAGCGAAUGGG
rnacentral:rRNA from 1 species